AUACCGAGAGUGCAAGCGUUAAUCGGAAUUACUGGGCGUAAAGCGCGCGUAGGUGGAUAUUUAAGUCGGAUGUGAAAUCCCUGGGCUCAACCUAGGAACUGCAUCCGAUACUGGGCAUCUAGAGUAUAGUAGAGGGAAGUGGAAUUUCCGGUGUAGCGGUGAAAUGCGUAGAUAUCGGAAGGAACACCAGUGGCGAAGGCGGCUUCCUGGACUAAUACUGACACUGAGGUGCGAAAGCGUGGGGAGCAAACAGGAUUAGAGACCCGAGUAGUCC
rnacentral:rRNA from 1 species